AAUAACUGUUUUCUUAUAACAAUAAGUUGUUUGUUGAACUAUAAUAGACAAAGCACAACUAAACUUUACAAAACUAGUUGGAUAUAUAUAGUUUAAUAAAAUUAGUAAACUGAUUUACAACUAUUAUUAAUAGUUAUUAAUAAUUCUACUAUAUAAGCUACCUACAUUAACCUAUCAUUACUCAUCAAAUUAUCUUACUUAAAGUUUCAAAAAAAAAAAAGAAAUUGCAAUAUCUUCUUAGAAUUUCUGAUAAUUAAAUACAUAUAAGUCAUGGAGAUUCAGAAAAAAAAUCAAGUGUUCUCAUGAUCAUAGUUAUGAUUACGAUAGCAUUUUCAGCACACAUUUCUC
rnacentral:lncRNA from 1 species